rnacentral:rRNA from 1 species
AUGACUCAGCAGUCCCCUACAUCUACAUAUACUUGCAUAGUUAUCUUUGGUUGUCGCACGGCUGCAUGCCACCGGCCGAUGGGAAACAUUAUUCUUAUGCACAUGGUAACAUGCUAUUGCCCUGUUAAACCGCAUCAUAAUAAAUCUUGUCUCUUACUCUUUGCCGUGGACCUAAUUUCAUUACUUGUGGAUAAUGAAAUCUUGUGUGUUACCCCCAUCCAUCUAGGUGGCCGGUGCAAUGUCAUUGUCCACCUCAGAAGCACACGGUUUCGUCGAAAACCGUCAUUGGACGGGAAUUAA